rnacentral:lncRNA from 10 species
UAUUUAAAUGCUCUUCUUCCUGAUCAUUUCAAGAGGUAGAAAGAUGAAAGGAAGGUGACAAUCCACAUUAGCAUCUGAAGGAGCAACUGAAGGAGUCAAGAAUUUAUCUCAAUGUAAAGUGGGAGAAUUCACCAAGGCCUAUAAACCUCUAUGACUACUACAAGUGCUGUCAGUUAAAGAGGAACACCAUCAUGAAUAUGGCUUCUUGAAAAAAAUCAGCAAAGUGUGAAAAGAAGAAUCUUCAAACUCACCCACUUAAAAGACAGAAAGAGAAAGAACAAGUCAUCCCUCAGUAUAUGUUGGGGAUUGAUUCCACAACCUCCAUCAGAUAACAAAAUUGGACAAUGCUAAAGACUCUGAUAUAAAUGGCAUACUAUUUGUAUAUAACCUACACACAUCCUCAUAUACACUUUAAAUUGCUCUAGAUUACUUAUAAUACCUAAUAUAAAUGCUAUGUAAACAGUUGCUAUGAUGUAUUAUUUAGAGAAUAAUGACAACAAAAAAAAAGUCUGUAUGUGUUCAGCACAGACACAAUUUUAUUUUCAUUCUGUCCAUGGUUGGUUGAAUCCAUGGAUAUGAAACCACGGAUAUGGAGGACUAACUGUACAAUUAGCAUAUCAAGCAUGGAGCCAACCAGAACCAUCUCUUCUACUAUAUCAAAAGACAAAAUGGUAAGUUAAAAGAGCAAGGAUCAGAUAUUUGAUUUUCUGAGGUGAGUUAUGUAUUAUAGUUUCCACUUAGCAAAGAACAAAACUAGUGUCCAUCAUCACACAACUAGC